GACGAACCGUGCGAACGUUAUUCGGAAUCACUGGGCUUAAAGCGCGUGUAGGCGGGUCGGCGCGUCCGUGGCUGAAAGCCCCCGGCUCAACCGGGGAAGUGGCGCGGAUACGGCCGAUCUGGAGGGGGGUAGGGGGACCUGGAACUUCCGGUGGAGCGGUGAAAUGCGUUGAGAUCGGAAGGAACGCCCGUGGCGAAAGCGAGGUCCUGGACCCUUUCUGACGCUGAGAC
rnacentral:rRNA from 1 species